rnacentral:rRNA from 1 species
AGUUUGAUCCUGGCUCAGGAUGAACGCUAGCGACAGGCUUAACACAUGCAAGUCGAGGGGCAGCGAGGGAGUGGCAACACUUCUGUCGGCGACCGGCGCACGGGUGAGUAACGCGUAUGCAACCUACCCUUCACAGGGGGAUAACCGGGAGAAAUUCCGACUAAUACCGCAUACGUCCUCCGGGGGCAUCCCCGGGGGAUGAAAGAGUUAUCGGUGAAGGAUGGGCAUGCGUGAUAUUAGGUAGUUGGCGGGGCAACGGCCCACCAAGCCCACGAUAUCUAGGGGUUCUGAGAGGAAGGUCCCCCACAUUGGUACUGAGACACGGACCAAACUCCUACGGGAGGCAGCAGUGAGGAAUAUUGGUCAAUGGACGAGAGUCUGAACCAGCCAAGUCGCGUGAAGGAUGAAGGUCCUACGGAUUGUAAACUUCUUUUAUAAGGGAAUAAACCCUCCCACGUGUGGGAGCUUGUAUGCACCUUAUGAAUAAGCAUCGGCUAACUCCGUGCCAGCAGCCGCGGUAAUACGGAGGAUGCGAGCGUUAUCCGGAUUUAUUGGGUUUAAAGGGUGCGUAGGUGGUGAUUUAAGUCAGCGGUGAAAGUUUGUGGCUCAACCAUAAAAUUGCCGUUGAAACUGGGUUACUUGAGUGUGUUUGAGGUAGGCGGAAUGCGUGGUGUAGCGGUGAAAUGCAUAGAUAUCACGCAGAACUCCGAUUGCGAAGGCAGCUUACUAAACCAUAACUGACACUGAAGCACGAAAGCGUGGGGAUCAAACAGGAUUAGAUACCCUGGUAGUCCACGCAGUAAACGAUGAUUACUAGGAGUUUGCGAUACAAUGUAAGCUCUACAGCGAAAGCGUUAAGUAAUCCACCUGGGGAGUACGACCGCAAGGUUGAAACUCAAAGGAAUUGACGGGGGCCCGCACAAGCAGUGGAGUAUGUGGAUUAAUUCGAAGCAACGCGAAGAACCUUACCAGGUCUUGACAUCGUAUGCAUAGCUCAGAGAUGAGUGAAAUCUCUUCGGAGACAUAUAGACAGGUGGUGCAUGGUUGUCGUCAGCUCGUGUCGUGAGAUGUUGGGUUAAGUCCCGCAACGAGCGCAACCCUUACUGUUAGUUGCUACGCAAGAGCACUCUAGCAGGACUGCCGUUGACAAAACGGAGGAAGGUGGGGAUGACGUCAAAUCAUCAUGCCCCUUAUGACCUGGGCCUCACACGUACUACAAUGGCUGUUAACAGAGGGAUGCAAAGCCGCGAGGUGGAGCGAACCCCUAAAAGCAGUCUUAGUUCGGAUUGUAGGCUGCAACCCGCCUACAUGAAGUCGGAAUUGCUAGUAAUCGCAGAUCAGCAUGCUGCGGUGAAUACGUUCCCGGGCCUUGCACACACCGCCCGUCAAG